ensembl:lncRNA
CUAAUUUGCCGUGAAAGCUGUGCUGUAAACAGAGCAUGACAGCUGGAGUCACUCAGCUCUUCCCUUCGCCCAUCAGUACACACACGAAGCAGGCUGUUUUGAGCACAUUUCUCUCAAAAGCCACACAAACACACAGAGUUGCAGUAAUAUGAAUCAGUGUUUGGCACCUCUUCUUGUGAAAAGAGGAGUAUCUGAGGAAAGCCAUAAUCCACUAUUCCCUCCUAACGAUGCCUCUGUGUGUGUUUGUGUUAAGUUCUGUGCUGCUGGAUGUUGAGGCUUGUUUGUGUUGGCCCGGACCCAGUGUCUUAUCAAGACUGAAAAUGAAUUUUUGCUUCAUCGUUGGAUUGCCCUCAUUUUUAAUCUUCUUUUCUUCCUUUCCAACAGACAAUCUGCUCCACUGGCACACAUUAAACUCUGCUGUCACCCAUCCCCAUAAAGAGACACUCUUAGCUGAGACACCUGUAAAAUGCAUGCAGUACGACAGAGCUGAGGGAAAAUGUGUGUUGCGCUUAAACAGCUCAGCAGCACAUCAUCGCUUCGGCCCAAAACUGCCUUCCUCCCACCAGCAGCAUGAAGAGGGACCUUGGACAGUAUGUCCAAACAAAACCGCUCCCUAAACCUCUCCCUGAUACUCUCCUCCUCUCCACGGCCCAGCAACCUGCUGGACAGAGACGUGACCGGAGGAAAUCCACUCAUUGUGACCCCCAUCGGCCGCGCUCUUCCUCUUCCUCUGUAUAUGGACUUUUCCUCCAGCACUUCACCGAAUCAGCGCAGGCUGCUGGACGCUGUCCGUCAGACACUAACGGAGGAACUGGGAAAAGUCAUUCGCUCCACUUCCUCCUGAACCUUUGUGACGCAGUCAAGCUCAGGAAGAGCUAGAGUGAAUAACUAAGCUCACAUCAUGUGUGUAAUAGACAUUGUUAGUAAAAUGUGCCUAAAGCUGUCAAAAGUCUCUUGUAGUAAAAUAUCAGGAAAAUUUACCUUUAAUAACAUUCAGAAAUUCAUUAUAUUUGUCUAAUAAAUGAAUAGAUAAA